rnacentral:rRNA from 1 species
UACGAAGGGGGGCUAGCGUUGCUCGGAAUCACUGGGCGUAAAGGGUGCGUAGGCGGGUCUUUAAGUCAGGGGUGAAAUCCUGGAGCUCAACUCCAGAACUGCCUUUGAUACUGAGGAUCUUGAGUUCGGGAGAGGUGAGUGGAACUGCGAGUGUAGAGGUGAAAUUCGUAGAUAUUCGCAAGAACACCAGUGGCGAAGGCGGCUCACUGGCCCGAUACUGACGCUGAGGCACGAAAGCGUGGGGAGCAACAGGGAUUAAGAAA